rnacentral:rRNA from 1 species
GAUGAACGCUGGCGGCGUGCCUAAUACAUGCAAGUCGAGCGAACAGAUAAGGAGCUUGCUCCUUUGACGUUAGCGGCGGACGGGUGAGUAACACGUGGGUAACCUACCUAUAAGACUGGAAUAACUCCGGGAAACCGGGGCUAAUGCCGGAUAACAUUUAGAACCGCAUGGUUCUAAAGUGAAAGAUGGUUUUGCUAUCACUUAUAGAUGGACCCGCGCCGUAUUAGCUAGUUGGUAAGGUAACGGCUUACCAAGGCAACGAUACGUAGCCGACCUGAGAGGGUGAUCGGCCAGACUGGAACUGAGAAACGGUCCAGACUCCUACGGGAGGAAGCAGUAGGGAAUCUUCCGCAAUGGGCGAAAGCCUGACGGAGCAACGCCGCGUGAGUGAUGAAGGUCUUCGGAUCGUAAAACUCUGUUAUUAGGGAAGAACAAAUGUGUAAGUAACUGUGCACGUCUUGACGGUACCUAAUCAGAAAGCCACGGCUAACUACGUG